AUUCUGGCUCAGGAUGAACGCUGGCGGCGUGCUUAACACAUGCAAGUCGAACGGGAUCCCAGGAGCUUGCUCCUGGGUGAGAGUGGCGAACGGGUGAGUAAUGCGUGACCGACCUGCCCCAUACACCGGAAUAGCUCCUGGAAACGGGUGGUAAUGCCGGAUGCUCCAGUUGGAUGCAUGUCCUUCUGGGAAAGAUUCUAUCGGUAUGGGAUGGGGUCGCGUCCUAUCAGCUUGAUGGCGGGGUAACGGCCCACCAUGGCUUCGACGGGUAGCCGGCCUGAGAGGGCGACCGGCCACAUUGGGACUGAGAUACGGCCCAGACUCCUACGGGAGGCAGCAGUGGGGAAUAUUGCACAAUGGGCGCAAGCCUGAUGCAGCGACGCCGCGUGCGGGAUGACGGCCUUCGGGUUGUAAACCGCUUUUGACUGGGAGCAAGCCCUUCGGGGUGAGUGUACCUUUCGAAUAAGCACCGGCUAACUACGUGCCAGCAGCCGCGGUAAUACGUAGGGUGCAAGCGUUAUCCGGAAUUAUUGGGCGUAAAGGGCUCGUAGGCGGUUCGUCGCGUCCGGUGUGAAAGUCCAUCGCUUAACGGUGGAUCCGCGCCGGGUACGGGCGGGCUUGAGUGCGGUAGGGGAGACUGGAAUUCCCGGUGUAACGGUGGAAUGUGUAGAUAUCGGGAAGAACACCAAUGGCGAAGGCAGGUCUCUGGGCCGUCACUGACGCUGAGGAGCGAAAGCGUGGGGAGCGAACAGGAUUAGAUACCCUGGUAGUCCACGCCGUAAACGAUGAGUGCUAGGUGUUGGCCAGAGAUGGUCGGUGCCGCAGCAAACGCAAUAAGCACUCCACCUGGGGAGUACGACCGCAAGGUUGAAACUCAAAGGAAUUGACGGGGGCCCGCACAAGCAGUGGAGUAUGUGGUUUAAUUCGACGCAACGCGAAGAACCUUACCAAGUCUUGACAUCCCUUGACGAUGCUGGAAACAGUAUUUCUCUUCGGAGCAAGGAGACAGGUGGUGCAUGGUUGUCGUCAGCUCGUGUCGUGAGAUGUUGGGUUAAGU
rnacentral:rRNA from 1 species